rnacentral:sRNA from 1 species
CCCAAAAUGUGAUCAUAAGUGAAGAUAAAUGGAUUACUUGAGUGCUAAGACAAGAGGGACAUGCUCUUCUAUUUUAUGUGUCCAUCUUGACCUUUCUGAAAAAAUAAGAAUAUUGUAAUUAGCAUUCUAUGUUUGAAUCUGAGGCUCCCUAUUUAUAAGCUGUGUGAUAUUGGGAGAGUUACCUGACUUCUCUGAACCUCAAUUUUAUCAUUUGGAAAACACAAUAAAUAUACCAUAUUGUAAAGGUCUUGUUAGGAUUGAUCGUGGUGACUCGGUAAAUAAAGCUCCUAGUGUAAUGCCUGGCCCUCAUCAUCAUGUUGAUCAUUACUAUCACUGUGUUUCUGAAAUGUCACUGAAACAUGUCUUUUAUAGGUGGAACAUAAAUAAUGAUACCUGGGUCAUAACUGAGCAACUAAAACCUUUAACAGUGAAUUUGGACUUCCAAAGAAACAACAAAACUGUCUUCAAGGCUUCAAGCUUUGCUGGCUAUGUGGGCAUGUUAACAGGAUUCAAACCAGUAAGGAGUCUGUUGUUACAUAAUUAUACAGGUAGCCUUUUGUCCUAUUACUGUUACGUAAAAGUUGAAAUCUAAGAAUAUGAGGACCUAAAGGGAAUAUGAAGCCCCAUUUCACCCCCUUGUACUUCUUGUCACUUCAUAGGUAUGAGAUCUCGUGGUAGAGAAGAGUAGAAAGGAAACGGAGGUUUCUGAGCCUGUUCUGGGAUAAAGAGCAUGUGGCCGGGUGUCAAGGGCUGGGAGUCACAAUCUGAUUUCUAGUCCUAGGUCUUCCGCUCACUUAGGCAAGUCAGGCGUUCAUUCCCUGCCCUUCAGUUUCCUGUCCAAAAAGCGUUGCCAGUGAUACCCCACCUACUUAUCUCACAUACUAGAAUAAAAAAUGCUUUGAACUUUUUAAAAAGCCUUUUAUGGUUUUGAUUUAUUUUUGCCUUCCCCAUUACCAAAGCUAGGCCUUUAUAUCCCACUCUGAAGUACAGUGAGCGACAGGGCCUUAAAGCGCAUGGUUGAUGUUUCUGACUUCGUUGCUUUGUCUUUUUCUCAGGGACUGUUCAGUCUUUCACUGAAUGAACGUUUCAGUAUAAAUGGUGGUUAUCUGGGUAUUCUAGAAUGGAUUCUGGGAAAGAAAGAUGCCAUGUGGAUAGGGUUCCUCACUAGAACAGUUCUGGAAAAUAGCACAAGUUAUGAAGAAGCCAAGAAUUUAUUGACCAAGACCAAGAUAUUGGCCCCAGCCUACUUUAUCCUGGGAGGCAACCAGUCUGGGGAAGGUUGUGUGAUUACACGAGACAGAAAGGAAUCAUUGGAUGUAUAUGAACUCGAUGCUAAGCAGGGUAGAUGGUAUGUGGUACAAACAAAUUAUGACCGUUGGAAACAUCCCUUCUUCCUUGAUGAUCGCAGAACGCCUGCAAAGAUGUGUCUGAACCGCACCAGCCAAGAGAAUAUCUCAUUUGAAACCAUGUAUGAUGUCCUGUCAACAAAACCUGUCCUCAACAAGCUGACCGUAUACACAACCUUGAUAGAUGUUACCAAAGGUCAAUUCGAAACUUACCUGCGGGACUGCCCUGACCCUUGUAUAGGUUGGUGAGCACACGUCUGGCCUACAGAAUGCGGCCUCUGAGACAUGAAGACACCAUCUCCAUGUGACCGAACACUGCAGCUGUCUGACCUUCCAAAGACUAAGACUCGCGGCAGGUUCUCUUUGAGUCAAAAGCUUGUCUUCGUCCAUCUGUUGACAAAUGACAGACCUUUUUUUUUUCCCCCUAUCAGUUGAUUUUUCUUAUUUACAGAUAACUUCUUUAGGGGAAGUAAAACAGUCAUCUAGAAUUCAUUGAGUUUUGUUUCACUUUGACAUUUGGGGAUCUGGUGGGCAGUCGAACCAUGGUGAACUCCACCUCCGUGGAAUAAAUGGAGAUUCAGCGUGGGUGUUGAAUCCAGCACGUCUGUAUGAGUAACGGGACAGUAAACACUCCACAUUCUUCAGUUUUUCACUUCUACCUACAUAUUUGUAUGUUUUUCUGUAUAACAGCCUUUUCCUUCUGGUUCUAACUGCUCUUAAAAUUAAUAUAUCAUUAUCUUUGCUGUUAUUGACAGUGAUAUAAUUUUAUUACAUAUGAUUAGAGGGAUGAGACAGACAUUCACCUGUAUAUUUCUUUUAAUGGGCACAAAAUGGGCCCUUGCCUCUAAAUAGCACGUUUUGGGGUUCAAGAAGUAAUCAGUAUGCAAAGCAAUCUUUUAUACAAUAAUUGAAGUGUUCCCUUUUUCAUAAUUACUCUACUUCCCAGUAACCCUAAGGAAGUUGCUAACUUAAAAAACCGCAUCCCAGGUUCUGUUAAUUUAGUAAAUAAACAAGUCAAAGACUUGUGGAAAAUAGGAAGUGAACCCAUAUUUUAAAUUCUCAUAAGUAGCAUUCAUGUAAUAAACAGGUUUUUAGUUUGUUCUUCAGAUUGAUAGAUAGUUUUAAAGAAAUUUUAGUAGUUACUAAAAUUAUGUUACUUUAUUUUUCAGAAAUCAAACUGCUUAUGAAAAGUACUAAUAGAACUUGUUAACCUUUCUAACCUUCACGAUUAACUGUGAAAUGUACGUCAUUUGUGCAAGACCGUUUGUCCACUUCAUUUU